rnacentral:tRNA from 1 species
AGCGAUAUAGCUUAAUCGGUGGAGCGGGUCGUGAAAACGGCUGCGGGGCGUUCGAAUCCGUUUAUCGCUA